rnacentral:rRNA from 1 species
UACGGAGGGGGCUAGCGUUGUUCGGAAUUACUGGGCGUAAAGCGCACGUAGGCGGUCUGUCGCGUCUGGUGUGAAAUCCCGAGGCUCAACUUCGGGCUUGCAUCGGGUACGGGCGGACUAGAGUGCUGUAGGGGAGACUGGAAUUCCUGGUGUAGCGGUGGAAUGCGCAGAUAUCAGGAGGAACACCGAUGGCGAAGGCAGGUCUCUGGGCAGUUACUGACGCUGAGGAGCGAAAGCAUGGGGAGCGAACAGG